rnacentral:rRNA from 1 species
CAAUAGCGUAUAUUAAAGUUGUUGCAGUUAAAAAGCUCGUAGUUGAAGAUACGAACGCUUACACUCGAACAAAGUUUCCGGUGUCUGCGUUCACUUUUCGCAAAGACAGCCUGGCCCAUUAGUUUGGGUCUUGUUUGAGUUGCGUCAUUUACUGUGAACAAAUUAGGGUGUUUAAAGCAGGCCUACGUUUGAAUACACUAGCAUGGAAUAAUAAGAUAUGAUCUUGGUCGUAUUUUGUUGGUGACUACCAAGAUAAUGAUUGAUAGAAACUGUUGUGGGUAUUCGUAUGAGCAUGUCAGAGGUGAAAUUCUUGGAUUUUGAUCAGACGAACUACUGCGAAAGUAUUUACCAAGGAUGUUUUCAUUAA